rnacentral:rRNA from 1 species
GGGAUAGCGGCGGGAAACUGCCGGUAAUACCAGAUGACAUCUCCGGAUCAAAGGUGUGACUCCGCCCUAAGAUGGGCCCACAUGCUAUUAGUUAGUUGGCAGGGUAAUGGCCUACCAAGACUAAGAUGGCUAGCGGGUGUGAGAGCACGACCCGCGUCACUGGGACUGAGACACUGCCCAGACACCUACGGGUGGCUGCAGUCGAGAAUCUUCGGCAAUGGGCGCAAGCCUGACCGAGCGACGCCGCGUGCGGGAUGAAGGCCCUCGGGUUGUAAACCGCUGUCGAGGGGGACGAAAUUCUAGUGGGUACUCCCAUUAGAUUGACAGAUCCCUGGAGGAAGGGUGGGCUAAGUUCGUGCCAGCAGCCGCGGUAAGACGAACCACCCAAACGUUAUUCGGAAUCACUGGGCUUAAAGCGUGCGUAGGCGGCCUUGAAAGUUAGGUGUGAAAUCCCACAGCUCAACUGUGGAACUGCGCUUAAAACUACAAGGCUAGAGGGAUAUAGAGGUGAGCAGAACAGAUGGUGGAGCGGUGAAAUGCGUUGAUAUCAUCUGGAAUACCGGAGGCGAAGGCGGCUCACUGGGUAUCUUCUGACGCUGAGGUACGAAAGCUAGGGGAGCGAACGGGAUUAGAUACCCCGGUAGUCCUAGCCGUAAACG